rnacentral:rRNA from 1 species
AMAAAGGUAUUGAAUAAGAUUUUAAUUGAAUGCUAAGAGAAUGGAAGUCCAGAAAAAAACUUUUUUUAAAUUAAAAAUUGAAGUUUUUUUAAUUUGUGCAGAAACAAUUAUUUAUAUUAAAGACAAGAAGACCCUAUGAAUUUAUUAAAUUUUUAUUUAAUAUGUAAUUACUAUUAGAAAAAUUUUGGCUGGGGCGGCUAGAAAAUAUUAUGAACUUUUUAAAAAUAAAAUGAUCCAUUAUUAAUGAUUUUAUGUUAAAUACUCUAGGGAUAACAGCGUUAUAUUUUUUGAUAGAUCAUAUUGACAAAAAAGUUUGCGACCUCGAUGUUGGAUUAGGAUACUUUUUUAAUGAAGAUAUUAAAAAAAGAAGUUUGUUCAACUUUUAAUUUCCUACUUGAUCUGAGUUCAGACCGGA